rnacentral:rRNA from 1 species
CCUACGGGGGGCAGCAGUGGGGAAUAUUGCACAAUGGGGGAAACCCUGAUGCAGCAACGCCGCGUGAGCGAAGAAGGCCUUCGGGUCGUAAAGCUCUGUCCUAAGGGAAGAAGCAUGACGGUACCUUAGGAGGAAGCCCCGGCUAACUACGUGCCAGCAGCCGCGGUAAUACGUAGGGGGCGAGCGUUAUCCGGAAUCACUGGGCGUAAAGGGUGCGUAGGCGGCCCUUCAAGUCAGAGGUGAAAGGCUACGGCUCAACCGUAGUAAGCCUUUGAAACUGUAGGGGUUGGGUGCAGGAGAGGAGAUUGGAAUUCCCAGUGUAGCGGUGGAAUGCGUAGAUAUUGGGAGGAACACCAGUUGCGAAGGCGGCUCUCUGGAAUGUAACUGACGCUGAGGCACGAAAGCGUGGGGAGCGAACAGGAUUAGAUGCCCGAGUAGUC